rnacentral:rRNA from 1 species
CACGUAGUUAGCCGUGGCCUAUUCAUUCGGUACCGUCACUUUCUUCGUCCCGAAUAAAAGAAGUUUACAACCCGAAAGCCUUCUUCCUUCACGCGGCGUUGCUGGGUCAGGCUUGCGCCCAUUGCCCAAUAUUCCCCACUGCUGCCUCCCGUAGGAGUCUGGGCCGUGUCUCAGUCCCAAUGUGGCCGGCCAACCUCUCAGUCCGGCUACUGAUCGUCGCCUUGGUGGGCCAUUACCCCGCCAACUAGCUAAUCAGACGCGAGCUCAUCUCAGAGCGAUAAAUCUUUGGCAUCCAAACCAUGCGACUCAGAUGCAUCAUGCGGUAUUAGCGGCUGUUUCCAGCCGUUAUUCCCCACUCCAAGGCAGAUUGCUCACGCGUUACUCACCCGUCCGCCUACUUUCCUCAGCCUUCCCUCAGACGAAUCCUUGUUCCACUGAUUCUCGUUCGACUUGCUAUGUGUUAAGCUACGCCGCAGCGUUCAUCCUGACGCC